CAAUAGCGUAUAUUAAAGUUGUUGCAGUUAAAAAGCUCGUAGUUGGAUUUCGGAGCCGACCGGGCGGUCUGUCGAGAGACACGCACUGCUCGGUGGCUCUUCCUCUCGGAGGCCCUGGCUGCCCUUAACUGGAGCGGGCAGGGGAUUCGGGACGUUUACUUUGAAAAAAUUAGAGUGUUCAAAGCAGGCCGGGGCUUGGAUACAUUAGCAUGGAAUAAUGGAAUAGGGCUUGGGUCCUAUUUUGUUGGUUUUCGGGACCGAGGUCAUGGUUAAGAGGGACAGUUGGGGGCAUUCGUAUUCAAUUGUCAGAGGUGAAAUUCUUGGAUUUAUGGAAGACGAACAACUGCGAAAGCAUUUGCCAAGGAUGUUUUCAUUAA
rnacentral:rRNA from 1 species